CAUUGAUGGCCCUUAACGCGAUGUUACUGUUGACGGGAAAGUUGGAUGGAAAUGCUAGAUGGCCUAUUAUUUCCUUAAGAUUGACAGGUAUUUUCCUUGUUUUUUCAUCAUUCGUUCUUUUGGUGAUGAAUUUCGAUCGAUAUUUGGCGACAUCUUAUCCUAUCUUUCAUCGAACAUCGGUAACGAAGGGAAGACUUUUAACUCUUCUUGCAAUACUGAUCAUCGUCGACCUAAUUUUGAGAGCAAUGUCUGCAUACGACUUUGUUAUUUCCGACCAAGUAUAUAUUCUAAUUCUUUGUAUUCUUCUCAUUCCUGCAAUGUUAUUUUUCAACUACAAGCUGUUUCUAGUCGUC